rnacentral:rRNA from 1 species
AUUGAACGCUGGCGGCAGGCCUAACACAUGCAAGUCGAGCGGCAGCGGAAAGUAGCUUGCUACUUUGCCGGCGAGCGGCGGACGGGUGAGUAAUGUCUGGGAAACUGCCUGAUGGAGGGGGAUAACUACUGGAAACGGUAGCUAAUACCGCAUAACGUCGCAAGACCAAAGAGGGGGACCUUCGGGCCUCUUGCCAUCAGAAUUGCCCAGACGGGAUUAGCUAGUAGGUGGGGUAAUGGCUCAACUAGGCGACGAGCCCUAGCUGGUCUGAGAGGAUGACCAGCCACACUGGAACUGAGACACGGUCCAGACUCCUACGGGAGGCAGCAGUGGGGAAUAUUGCACAAUGGGCGCAAGCCUGAUGCAGCCAUGCCGCGUGUAUGAAGAAGGCCUUCGGGUUGUAAAGUACUUUCAGCGGGGAGGAAGGUGUUGAGGUUAAUAACCUCAGCAAUUGACGUUACCCGCAGAAGAAGCACCGGCUAACUCCGUGCCAGCCGCCGCCGUAA